rnacentral:misc_RNA from 1 species
GUAGGUGAACCUGCGGAAGGAUCAUUACCAAUGUCUUCGGGGGGACUCCGGUCCCUGUCUGAACCCUUGUCUUUUGCGUACUAUUUGUUUCCUUGGUGGGCUUUGCCUGCCAAAAGGACACUAUAUAACCCUUUGUAAUUGCAAUCAGCGUCAGAAAAACAUAAUAGUUACAACUUUCAACAACGGAUCUCUUGGUUCUG